GCCCCCAUCGUCUAGCCUGGUCUAGGACAUCGGUCUUUCAAGCCGGUAACGCGGGUUCAAAUCCCGCUGGGGGCGCAA
rnacentral:tRNA from 1 species